UACAGAGGGGGCAAGCGUUGUUCGGAAUUACUGGGCGUAAAGGGCGCGUAGGUGGCCUUCUAAGUUGAACGUGAAAUCCCCGGGCUCAACCCGGGAACUGCGUCCGAUACUGGGAGGCUUGAAUCCGGGAGAGGGAUGUGGAAUUCCAGGUGUAGCGGUGAAAUGCGUAGAUAUCUGGAGGAACACCGGUGGCGAAGGCGGCAUCCUGGACCAACACUGACGCUGAGGAGCGAAAGCCAGGGGAGCAAACGGG
rnacentral:rRNA from 1 species